CACACUGUUUCCUUUCAUUUAUGCUGAAUUCAAUUCCACUCAAACCACUUCCUCAAACCCUCACAAUGCCCUCCCAGCAUGCCUAGUGAUAUGAUGGAUCCGACCUUGCCCUACCCGGUCUGGUGGGGGCUACCGGUCUGGUGGGGGAGGUGGAUACUGGAUUGGAGUGAUCGGUAGGGAUGGAGGGUGUGUAAGUGGAGAGAGCCCUCACCCUAUUACCCAGGAAGGGCACUUCACACUGGACUCACCCCACCCAGAGAUGCCCAUCCACCUCUGCCCAGCCCUGCCUUUCUCCCCUGCUGCCACACGGAGGCGACAGAGCAACCCUUCCACAGCUGCCUCUGGACGUUCUCCCAUCAGCAACGUGGAUGGGUGGCUGAGGUGGGAUCUGUGCCUUCUGCAGAUGAUCCCGGCCUGGUGAUGGCCCUCUUUUGGGCUGAGACUCCUCACGCGGAAGAUGAUGGAGGUGGAUGUUGUGAGUCCUCUGGUCCUCCAGCACUUCAAUCCAGCCUCCCACGGCAAGCCAGUUCUCGGCAACUGUGUGCCUGGGGUUCCACUCCCAGCACCUGCUUCUGGAUGGCCUGGGGGAUCCACCUGGGUGCCCCUCCACUCCGGGUCCCAGGGGAGACUGACACCCACCCAGGCAACCACCUGCUUGUUACAGAGCCCUGCAGGAGGCAGCUCACCACCCACGAGGAGGGACUUAGGCAGCGGACUUGCUGAGGGGUAAGGGUCUGCCCCAUGAUGCCUCACAGCUCCACCUUCUGGGAGCCACCCACGUGUGGGCAGCCUCAGGGGACUCCAGCUCCAGGAGCAAGAUCGGGUUGUGGAUGGAGGAAGGGUUGCAGAUGCCAUCAAAGCUGUUGCUUCUCUGUGAACUGCAGCAGACUUUGCCCGGAGCAGUAAACUGUGGACGGAGGAAGGGAAGCAGGAAGGAUUCCAUCCAAGGUGCCACGUUACACUUAAACAUCAUGCCUCCAUCCUUUCUUCCUGGUCUGAGAGAGUUGCUCAGACUCUCCUGGUUUUUGAUGAUCUUGAGAGUUUUGAGUAUUCAUCAUCAGGCUGGCACCCAGCACUGUGCUAUCCUAGGAAGAAACAGCUAAAUCCCAAUGAAAGUCUCUGCUCACCACCUCCCCUGCUCCUGCCCUGGCCUGGGCUUGGGGGGACCCAGAGAGACGUCCAUAGGGUUCUGCCCUCCUGGAUUCUCUGGCUCAGACGAUGGCCCCAUCAUAUACUCCUGCAGCCAAGGCAGAAAUCCAGGCAUCAGCCCGGACUCUUCCCUCACGCCCCCUCGUGUGCCCCCUUCUGUUUUCCUGCAGUGCCCUGAUGUCCUCUGUUGCAUUGUUUAUCAUCUUUUAUUGUAAAGGCUCCAAUUGUCCAUUUCCCCAUCUAGAUGCAAUGAAGGCAGAGGCUGUGUCUAUCUUGUUCCCUGCUGUAUUCUGGGCACCUGGCACAGUGCCUGGCACUUAACAGGUGCUAAUUAAACACUGUUGAUUGAAUUACUUAGUCCCUUUGAUUCCAUUUGCUUGAUACUCAUUGAAUCCAUACCCUCCUGUCUCCCCCAGCCGCAGUCUUUGCUCAGAUAAUUCCACCUGGGCACUGGAGCAGUUUUCUGACUGGGCUGCUUAUCUUACCUCCACCAUUCAGUCUAUUUUCCACAUUAUAGCUGGAGUGGUCAUUCUAAAGUGCCCAUCUAUCCUACUCUGAAUCCUUCCCUGGCUUCCCAUUACUUACAG
rnacentral:lncRNA from 1 species